ACACGUUGUAUCCUGUAUAUAUUUAUAUUAAUUAUAAGAAAAUACACAGUGUGUUCGACAUCGGCCGGUAACGAAACAUCGGUUAUGCCGACCCACCGUUUAACCUGCGAGUGUGGUAGUCAAGUUAUUGUUUUAUGAAACACAUUACUUCGACUAUGCUGAACAAAAUAUAACGAUCAUUUUGAAUAAACGCUAUAGGUGUUAACAUGUCUAUUUAUGUGGCCAGUAUGCUAAGUUAUAUAAUCUACUAUUUUAUGGUAGGAUACAGCAACAGGUUGCUAUGCUAAUUUUAUACACUAUACACAUAUGCUUGUAUUUGAUAUGAUCAAAUGAUUCGGUUGUUUGAGACGCAACCAUGCCGAAUGUCAGUACUGCUACACGAUAUACCAACAGUACAUCACAAUAGGGGCUGGUCAUAUGUAAUGAUGGGGUCUUCAGGAGGAGGAUACUGUAACACGUGUUCAGGAAGUGUCAUGAAAAAAGACAUUUUAUGAUGAAAUAGUGCUUUUUUUACAAUUUUCAUGGAUCAUGGAGAGUCAUGAAAAAGAUUACAAGGACAUCGUCUAAAGAUAUGAAAAUAUUACUGGAGAGUCUCUAAUUUCAGGACGUUAGUGCAUCGGACUCCGCUCCACCCCACCCUACCCCACAUCACCCCACCCUACCCCAUCCUAACCCACCCUUCCCACCUUGUACGUUAGGUAUGACCUGGAUUAUAGGUGAAGUUAUCUGACUAACGACUAUGUUGCUCCCUGACUUGAACACUGCAUUUAUUUAUCAUAAUGUUUAUCAUUAUAGGUUGACCUAUAUUCUUGGUACAGCUGGGGCCUAGGACAUAAUUACGAUCUGAAACGUAUGACCCAUCUUAGAGCUUGGGCCUAGGAUAUACGUCAGACGUAGGGUAUAGUUAGGACGAGAGACAUCAGACCUUGGAUAUAUAUGCACCCUUGGAUAUACUUAAAUCCUAGGAUAUUGGUAGGAUCAGAGUUACAGGACCAAGGAGAUAUGUAGGCCUUAGGGUGUACCAAGGUUGUAGAACAGAAUCUCGGACAUAACUAGCAACUAGGAUGUAGCCCGGGUCUUGUAUAUACUUAAGAACUAAGGCAUAGCACAGACGUAGGACAUAGCUAGGACAGCAACAUUCAGACACAAACAUAGAAUACCCGCUUGCUUAGUUUUAUAUGAAACCCUACAUCUAACCCCGUGUACUGUCAGAUCUGCCAGCUGGCCAUGUAUAGCAAUCAUCGUCAUGUACUUAAUAUAUGUUGUGUAAUCCUGUAUUCUCACUGGACUAAGACACCUUAUCCCCCGUCAACGUUGGACACGUCUGUUAUGUCAUGUUUGAUAACAUCGAACUGCUACAGUAUUUAUUCAGAAAUGUAUUAUUGAAUGUAUAUUUAGUUGUAUUACCUCAAUUUAGUGCCCAGCGAUGUGGUUAAGCAGCGCCUUUACUUUGACUGUAACGUCUAACCCCGUUGUCGUUAAAGUCAUUCAAGGUGGACAUAAAAGAAAUCAAAUGAUUAAAGAAAGAACACGAAAGGGCCAAACUUGUACGUCGAUACAACCGUAAUUUAGAUGUUACAGACGCAAAUAUUCACCUUAUUGGCUAAGUGCUUUUGUCGCCAUUUUGUAUUGUGUCCUCGUGUAAUCAACCAAUGGUACACUUUCUAUGUACAGCUCUCGAGAUUACAAACAUUCGGUGUAUACUAAAUAAAGGAGCUGAAUUUCUUAAGCUCUUUUCUUUUAGGAAGGAAUUAGUAGGUCAAAGGUUACCAGUGAUGGGUGAACAUUGUAUGCCUGAAGUAGGUACGUCUGGCGAAAGUGUUUCAGGAAUUUAAAGAUGUUGGUACUCCGUCGUUUACAAACUUUGCAUCGUCCAUGUUUUCUUGGUACAUGUAUACAUCUACCUGUCUCAGUACUUAACUCAUGUAAGCUACAGCGGAACUGUGCAAUAGCGUACCUGAAUUUCUUAGUGUCAUAAAAUGAAUUCAUUACUGAGUAAUGAAGCAUUUAAAACUAACGCAUUUAUCCAUGUCGAUACGGAAGUCAUCUGGUCUUGCCACGUCGAUCUUCGGGCAAACGGUAAAAACAUUUCAGUUAGCCUUAAAUAUUUGCAGUUACCCGAUUGUGUAAAUGUAACUGCUCUAGUAAUACAUUCUGUCCAAAUAUCAAGGGAGUACUAGCCUUACUAUGAAAUAAUUCAAAUACAGAAAAUACAACUUUUUAUAAGGUGCAAUGACUUGUUUUAUGUAUGAAAACACCGUAGAAGUAUUACAUUGGUAUAUAAAAACAUAUAACAUUAUUUUCUAAUUUGAAUGAAUUUAUUAGAUUUAUAAAACAAAAUGUUUACCGUUUUUACCAUGCAAAUGACUUCAGUCCACACAAAACUAGAUAUACUGGUCGUGAAUCGUAGUUGAAACAGACGCAACAUCGUUGGAUGUAUGCGUCAGUAUACGGAAGUAGUAGUAGGUAAUAUUGUUAACACAAACUAGAGUUUAUACAAAUCCUUAAACCACAAUUAUCUUCAUGUCAAAGUCUAGGUAUAAUCCUAUAUUGAAUAUUAAUAUGUAAGCCAAGUACACUUUAUUGCGUGAAACUAUUUGUACAAUAUCCCCAAAUUCUACAGCACAAUAAGAUAGAAUAGAUGUUUACUGUUUUUCACCCGACCUUCAACUUCAAGCAAAUAAGUGCAGCAAUGUUUGCGUAUGACAUCACUACCAGUGACCCACCUUCCCGUAGUAGCGUGUUUCCUGACAGAAGAAAGCAUGAUAUUUCAAUAAACUUUUGUUGAUUCAAGGGUCGUAUAUCUGCGCAAGUGUGUCGUGUAAGUAAUCCGAGAUAGUGUGACAACCAGUGUAUUACUAUUUGUGUUUGUGUUUUAGAUUGUACACAAGGGAAAUAUUCAGAAAUACAAAUGCAUUUCAAUUAUUCCUGCGAUAAUCGCCCUCUAAAUAGUUUCAGCAAUGUAGUCAAAGAAAUCUCUGAAGAUUGUAAACAAAUGCUACACAGCGUAAUAUGUGAGUUUUACCCCCCGUGUAUAUGGCCUUAUCUGGGCCAUAUUGGCGACAUGUCAUUUCCGGUAAUGGCGGAACGUGAAUUUGCAGACAUUACUCAUAAAGGGAAGGGGUAGUUGGUUUCAAAUCAGACAAAAAGCAUGGUGAAUAGCCAUCUAGUAGAUGUCAAAAGAAUUUCUGAUGUCGGAUGAGGCAAGGUUCAAUACUUUUGAUUUGCCUUACUGACUGCGACUUGUGAGAAAAGGACAGCUUCAUGGACAGUUGAAAACAUUGACGUUUGUUCGUGUCGUUUGAAGAAGCCUCCAGGGGAUCACACAAAACUAUGUCGAGGCAGCUAUCGAAAGGUUAUUUCAUAAAUAGCAUGGGUGUAAUUCGGAACAUAACUUUACAAUAAAAUGCCAACUGCAAUCACUAAGUUGGUUAUUUAGCGAGAUUGGUUUAAAACAGAUUCUGUGUUACUAUCGUGUGGAGAAAGACAUUCCAGUUGUAGUGUAUGUAGGCUUCGUGUUACCCGCGGUCCAGUCUGCCAGUCUUUUAGCAUGGGUCGAUGACUAUCUUUAACUGUGUCGUGUCACCCUUGCAGACAUUAACUGCAUGUCUUUCAUAAAAUCAAAUGUGUAGUUAUAUCAGUUUGUUUUGCGGUAACUACAUGUGACUUCCAGCGUUCGGUAUCUUACUGCCAGUAAAUGUCAGAACAGAUUCCACGUGUGAGAUUACGCAAACUUUCUACCGGUGUCGUUAUGCUUAAAUCAAACAGUGAAGAGUUGACAACGGAUCCGUUCCAGACCAGAAUAUGUACUGUGGUUUCCCCUUGUGGUUUGAAUUAUUAUAACUCAUUAUUACUAAAUACAUGCCAGAUAUCACUGUAUUGCACUCUGGCAAGAACUGUAAUCCAUUACCAACUUAUCAACGGUCACCAGGGAAGUGCCUACUCGAGAGUGUGAGACGAUUGUAGGUACAAGUAUUGAAAGCGAACGAGUAUAUGUCGAUAAAAUCUGUAAAAUAAUCUUUCACUUGAUAUUUUAAUCCAUAUAUCACAUCCAUCCUUAACAAUAAUGGACACGUGAAUAGACGACGUCGUUGAUCGUCCUUCAUUAAUUGAAGAGCAACUUGAACAGAAGACGAGUGGAUGAUGUAAGUUCAAUGGCUGUAGGCGGAGCUGUUCUGUAAGGAAUGUCUUCCUGGUGUUCCAUACAUCGAUACCUAUACCUUUAUUGGUCACCCUACAUGUUUACUGAAUACUCCAUCCACUGUACAUGUUUAACGAAUAAAUAACUUCACCUACAAUAUUGUAUUUCAAGAUCACUUUAUUCUGAUGAUUGCAAGAAAUUAACAAGGAUUUCUACAACAUGUCAUACUGGUUUUAACAAUUAUGCAACGAUUUAAUACAAUGUAUAUGAACAAUAUUUUUGGCCAUGAAACAUUAUGAAACAC